rnacentral:rRNA from 1 species
AGGUAAAGGCUCACCAAGGCGACGAUCAGUAGCGGGUCUGAGAGGAUGAUCCGCCACACUGGGACUGAGACACGGCCCAGACUCCUACGGGAGGCAGCAGUGGGGAAUUUUGGACAAUGGGCGAAAGCCUGAUCCAGCCAUGCCGCGUGUCUGAAGAAGGCCUUCGGGUUGUAAAGGACUUUUGUCAGGGAGCAAAACUUACUGGUUAAUACCCGGUGAGGCUGAGAGUACCUGAAGAAUAAGCACCGGCUAACUACGUGCCAGCAGCCGCGGUAAUACGUAGGGUGCAAGCGUUAAUCGGAAUUACUGGGCGUAAAGCGUGCGCAGGCGGACUUUUAAGCCAGAUGUGAAAGCCCCGAGCUUAACUUGGGAAUUGCGUUUGGAACUGGGAGUCUAGAGUCUGUCAGAGGGGGAUGGAAUUCCACGUGUAGCAGUGAAAUGCGUAGAGAUGUGGAGGAACACCGAUGGCGAAGGCAGUCCCCUGGGAUAAGACUGACGCUCAUGCACGAAAGCGUGGGG